rnacentral:misc_RNA from 1 species
CGGGCAGCGACGGCAUUUCAUGCGCGCCUCCUCAGCGGUUGGCCGCCGUGCUCGUGCACGGGGGCAACGUCGGUUUUCUCGUGUUGGAUUCCUAUCGAUUCGGCAUUCUGUCGGCUAGAUUGUCCCGUUUCCGCCCCGCGCUGUUGCUCCGCAUGGAAAUACGGCGCAUGGUGGACCUUGAAGCGCACGUUGUGAUUCGCCACCCCUGCAUUUGUGUUCGAGUGCUUGGUUCGGCGACCCACAGCGACGCGCUCGAUCUCUCGGAUGCGGAAAAUAGAGUGGCUACGAGGCCUUGGCCUCCGAUGCCCUCCGAAAGAGCGUUCUACGCUGCGUGCGAACGACGGCCGCGCGGGUCUUUGAUCGGGAGCCCCCGCGGCUCGUGAUCAUGCCCGCGAGGCGUCGGUGAGGAAUGCUACCUGGUUGAUCCUGCCAGUA